AUUGACCGCUGGCGGCCGGCCUAACACAUGCAAGUCGAGCGAGCGGCGGCCGGGUGAGUAAUGUAUGGGGACUGCCCGAUAGAGGGGGAUAACUACUGGAAACGGUAGCUCAUACCGCAUACUAUCGGAUAACCCAUAUGGCUUAGCGAGUAGGUGAGGUAAUGGCUCACCUAGGCGACGAUCACGAGCUGGUCUGAGAGGAUGAGCAGCCACACUGGGACUGAGACACGGCCCAGACUCCUACGGAGGCAGCAGGGGGGAAGAUUGCAAAAUGGGCGCAAUCCUGAUGCAGCCAGGCCGAGUGUAUGAAGAAGGCCCUAGGGUUGUAAAGUACUUUCAGUCGGGAGGCGUUACCGACAGAAGAAGCACCGGCUAACUCCGUGCCAGCAGCCGCGGUAAUAC
rnacentral:rRNA from 1 species